AGCAGCCGCGGUAAUUCCAGCUCCAAUAGCGUAUAUUAAAGUUGUUGCAGUUAAAAAGCUCGUAGUUGAAUUUCGGGAUUGACGUGAUGGUCAUGCCUUAAGGGGUAUGAACUGUCACUGUUGAUUUCUCACCUUCUGGAGAAACUUGAUGUCCUUUAUUGGGUGUCUUGCGGAUCCAGGACCUUUACCUUGAAAAAAUUAGAGUGUUUAAAGCAGGCAUUUUUGCUCGAAUACAUUAGCAUGGAAUAAUAGAAUAGGACGGCAUGGUUCUAUUUUGUUGGUUUCUAGGAUCACCGUAAUGAUUAAUAGGGAUAGUUGGGGGCAUUAGUAUUCAAUUGUCAGAGGUGAAAUUCUUGGAUUUAUUGAAGACUAACUACUGCGAAAGCAUUUGCCAAGGAUGUUUUCAUUAAUCAAGAACGAAAGUUAGGGGAUCGAAGACGAUCAGAUACC
rnacentral:rRNA from 1 species